UGGGGAAUAUUGGACAAUGGGCGCAAGCCUGAUCCAGCCAUGCCGCGUGAGUGAUGAAGGCCCUAGGGUUGUAAAGCUCUUUCACCGGUGAAGAUAAUGACGGUAACCGGAGAAGAAGCCCCGGCUAACUUCGUGCCAGCAGCCGCGGUAAUACGAAGGGGGCAAGCGUUGUUCGGAUUUACUGGGCGUAAAGCGCACGUAGGCGGACUAUUAAGUCAGGGGUGAAAUCCCGGGGCUCAACCCCGGAACUGCCUUUGAUACUGGUAGUCUUGAGUUCGAGAGAGGUGAGUGGAAUUCCGAGUGUAGAGGUGAAAUUCGUAGAUAUUCGGAGGAACACCAGUGGCGAAGGCGGCUCACUGGCUCGAUACUGACGCUGAGGUGCGAAAGCGUGGGGAGCAAACAGG
rnacentral:rRNA from 1 species